GCCAAAGGAGUCAGCAGCUUUUUGACAGCAGAGGAAGGAAAGGCGGGCUUCUGCACAGUGAAUACCACGGCUCAGCCCAAAUGUCAGCAUCGCCACUGUUUUCAAUUAAGACCCGGUACGUUGGGAGAAGAGAGGAGGAACAUCAAGGAGGAAGAUGUUUGGGAACAGCUGGAAGUGGCAGACCUAAUCUUUAUUUAUACCGGCUGUGCAAGCAGCAGGAAUGGUUGGAACGCUGCAGUUGACUGCAGCAACAUUACAGCCAUGACAACAUUUCACAAUUUAUAAAAAAUACCUCGAAACCAACCAGGCUGUACAAUCCUUUAGAAAUGGUUUUAUAGCAAUUUAUAAUACCUCAUGUGUAUUUGCAGGCAAAUGCACGUGGUGUUAAUCCUGCUGAUUGGCUGACUGCUGGUCUUUGGAAAACACUAUUUUGGACUUUGUGCAAGGAUGAAUUGUGCAAACUCUAAACAGAGUUAGGCUCAUUCAAGUGUAUUGUCUUACUAGUGCAGUAUAUUGGUAGUUUGCUGGAUAUCUUGUAAUAAACGUGUCAAAGUGGUCCAAAUCUAGAAGAAUUUGGAGCCGCAUCUGGAUGGCUGCCAUUUCCAGCAGCACCUGAGGCUGAACAGUGGCCAGUUUGAUGACCUGCUCGUUUCAGCUCGGUACCAGGACCUGUCUCCAGGGGAGUCCCGUCGUGAGCAGGACCAUGGGUCAGGGCCAUGUUUGUGUUUCCCUCUCUGAUGUCUUGACUCCACAUUCGGUGACAGACAUGCUACAGUUAAAAGUGGGUGAGCAUCUGCCGAACUGUUCAGUGGAUUGAACUGACUGAAUGAUUAAUGAAAGCUCCGCCACUUGAUUUAAUUUCCUUUUCAACUCUGUUGAGAUGAGUAUAUAUAUCCGAAUUUAGCAGGGUACCUAAUGUCCAGUCAAUCAAAACAAAUGAUUUCUGAAUGCUCCUGUUUCGGUUUUGUCUUAAUCAGGUGUCAGUGGUGUUUCAAGCAAAAGGUGGUUCCUCAGACUUCUGAAGAUUUCCCCAGACUUCUGAAGUCUGAGGAAGGAAAUAAAUCCAUUCACAGGAGUUUUAAUUUUGUGGAUUUUCUCUUCUUCAAAUGUUUGGGGAAGUUUUUUGAUCGCGCGCACAUCAAAAGAUUUUCUACUUCAUGCGGCCUACAGGUGUUUCCUGUCUGUCAAAGCAGCCACCCGGGAAGUUAAGAGAGAGAUCUGCUGCCAAACCACGAGAUCUCCUCGCAACCUCAAAGCUCUCUUCAACGAGGAAACAUCCAAUCAAUGUUUUCCUCCUGUGACACAACUUCCAAAAGCCGUUGUCCUCAAAGCCCAGUGCUGCAGAGCAGGGGUUAUCCUGUCUGUCCCACUUAACUUAAAUGGCCUGUGAAUGGUGGGUGAGUCAGGGCUGGACGCUGUCCCUCUGUGACCGUAGCUCUCGGCGGUGAUGUAGCUUUUCAAAUUUCUCCUCUUCCUGUGACUCUUUUGGAGCUUGUCAGUCGGAUGAAAGGUAUUUCCUCUCAGUCACUCCCCUGUUCCCUUUUGUCAACCGAGAAUCACGCAGGCCAUAAAGACCUCCAGUACACAAUGCAGUUGUCUCCUCCCCCAGCGGCUGUCCAGACUCAAAAUAAGCCUUUUUCUAUAAUUGGACUAUUUCAGAUAAAAUGCACUUUGCGGUUGCAUUAUGUUUACAGUAUGUUGGCCUAGUUUGGUGACAUCCUUUCUAAAGGGUCCUGACGUCUAUGUCAUAGUGACACACACAGCGGCAUCAUUCUGGAGAGUGGCCUCCGUUUCAUCUUGUCCCAUUUUUGAUGGUAAAGUUAAAGUAGAGCACGCAGUGGCCCAAAAUGUUAUUGGUCUAGCCACGAUUUUCAAACAUAGUGACCUCGUUGUUGGACGGAAACACAGACCUCGUGUAUCUGAUUGUGCUCAAAUCUCUCCGGCGAGGACAGCUGCAACAAGACAGACUGAUCCCACAGAAACAUGGCGAACAGAACUUUGUGGUGAGGCAAAGAAGGGAAAGUGUUUAUUAUUAUAAAAAAAUUGUCCAAAUCCACCUUUUAAUCAACUAUCUUCACUGCACAAGUGGAGCUAGUGAUACUAGAUGAAGGUUUAGGGGAUCACUAAGUUAACAUGAUUGGAUUAAUAUGACCGUUUCGAGACCAUUUGAUAAUCUAUACAAGAGUAGCCAAAAAGGUCAAAAUCAUCGUGGCACUCCAGUCAAAGACAGCGGAUUAUCAAAACCAGUGGAAUCCAUCCUCUGGGGACCAUGAAUGCCAAUGAAGAUUUCACUGCAAUUGACAAAUGCAUGUACCAACCGCCCAACCUGAUAUCAGCCCUCUUAGAGCAACACUGCUAGCAUGGCUAAAAGCAUAAAACAGAGUAUAGUUAAUUUAUACUGAUCGGCCACAACAUUCAUUACCAGAAAGUGCUUUUAAUGUUGUGGCUGACCAAUGUGUAUUUAGCUUCAAUGACAUCUGGUUUAUUUUAUUCUCUUGUAUGUGCUCAAACUGUCAAGAUGGAUUUCUCUCUGUAUGAUAGUUGAGCAUUGGUGACAAGUCACAGCUGUUGAAAGAGUAAACUGCUCAUAGUGAUUACAUAUAUAAAUGAAUGAGCGAAUGCACUGUAGCUGCUGGUCAUCUGGACAUGACAGAGAGUUACACAUCUGGGGAAUUAUCAAUGGAAAAAAACUAUUUCUCCUUUAAAGUAUAUAUGUCGUUCCAUCUCUUUUCUUAUUGUCAACCAAGGAGGAGUGGGCGAUAUGACCUGAAAUUCACUGAUCACUAUCAGAAAAUACAGUUCCCACGAUCAUUGUAAGGAAAGAACAAGUCACUCAGUGCUGUAGAGUAUUUAUGUUGUGAAUCAUUUUCAGAAAAGACUGUGUACUGUAUACUUUAGCUAUACAUACAAUACUUGUUUGUAGGAUGCAAUUUUUUGUUGGUUUUAUUAUUUUGUAGGAUUUGUUACGAUAAUAAACAUGGAGAAUAUUAGCUGCCUUAUCCUGUAACCCAGUCUAUACAUUACGUUUUCCAUAUUUGGUUUGUUUCCUUCCCUUGGCUUGAUUCAUGCCUUUAUCUUUGGGAUAUGCAGUAUGUUAGGAAUGCAGAGGAGUUUUACCUCUUCAUGCAUGAGUCAUUAUUCCCUCCUUUCACCAGCCUCUAUUACUCUGAAUUGUCCUGAUGUCAUCGCCUCUUUUGGACACUAAAAAAACAGAAGGCCGCCAUGUCAUGCAUGCCAAUCCACUGUUUAGCUAAGGAAUGUCACAAAUAUGUUGAUGCAGACUUCAGGGUGGGGGCUGAAAUAAUAUCCGACUGGGCAUUAUCACUGGUUAACUACGGCUACGCAGCUGAUGCAUUUCCGCUUUUGACUUUUAGAUGCAUCCAAUGAUCCAUGAUGAUGAUAAUGACUUUCCACAGUUAAUAAAUAUCCUGCUGUUCUCAUCUUCUGGGCUGAAUCCAGAAAUGUUUCAUUUUUAGUGAAAGGACAAACACAAAGUGGAUGAUGGAGUAUUGAUUCCUUUGUCAUGUUGUCUUUCCUACGGUAAAACAACGACCAAAUACUCAGAUUGUGAUCAGUAAAUCUCUUAAUAUUAAAUUUAUGAGAAUAUACGCUCGUCUUUUUCAACUUUUAUUCUAAAAUCCACUUCUUUCAUUUAGAGCCCGCACUUGUCAACGCCAAGAACAAAAUAAAGUCUAUAUCAGGCUGUGCAGGCUCUUAGAAAUGAGAUAACUGCUAAUGAAGGCUCAUGAAGGGUCAGAGAUCCUCGACCCCUUUAUUUCUGGCGUGGUUAUAUAACUGUGAGCAAAGGGGCAACUCAGCGCUGUCAGUCUCUGCAGAUUAGACUCUGCAGCUAUAAUGCAACUCCACUCAGGUCUAUAACCAGACAGGAAGUACAGACAAGAUACUUUAAUUGGCUGAUUUGACUGACAGGCACUGGAGUGAAUCAAUUUCAGAGUAACAUCUGACAAAAUGAAGCUGUAGGUGCUGCCUGCGAGGCCGUGUAAUGUAAGCAGCUGCAUGUCUUUAGACUCAGUGAUGUUCUGCUUACUACACAUAUUAAAACAAAUAUCUAACAGAAAACCUAAGUCUUCAUUUGCCUUCUCACAAUUUGGAUUAACAGUCAUCUGGUUGCCUCUGAUUGUUGCUGCAGACUGAAAUUGCACCCUGUAUUCAAUAUUCAUUAAGUACUAUUAU